GGAGGGGUGCCAGAGCGGCUGAAUGGGGCGGUCUCGAAAACCGUUGUGGGUUCACGCCCACCGUGGGUUCAAAUCCCACCUCCUCCGCCA
rnacentral:tRNA from 1 species